GACGAACGCUGGCGGCGUGCUUAACACAUGCAAGUCGAACGGAAAGGCCCUGCUUUUGUUGGGUGCUCGAGUGGCGAACGGGUGAGUAACACGUGAGUAACCUGCCCUUUACUUUGGGAUAACUUCAGGAAACUGGGGCUAAUACCGGAUAGGACCUCCGCCUGGAUGGGGGGGGUUGGAAAGUUUCGGCGGUUGGGGAUGGACGCGCGGCUUAUCAGCUUGUUGGGGGGGUGGUGGCUUACCAAGGCAUUGACGGGUAGCCGGCCUGAGGGGGUGACCGGCAAAAUUGGGACUGGGAUACGGCCCAGAUUCCUACGGGGGGCAGAGGUGGGAAAUAUUGCACAAUGGGCGGAGGCCUGAGGAGGCAACGCCGGGGGCGGGAUGACGGCCUUCGGGUUGUAACCCGUUUUCGCCUGGGACGAAGCGUGAGUGACGGUAAUGGGUAAAGAAGCACCGGCUAACUACGUG
rnacentral:rRNA from 1 species